GGGCACCAAAGAGCACUGAAGUUAAGGUGACAAAAAAAUUCUGUGAGCCGCCGAACAGAGGAGCGUGUCCAGACCCGACCCAGCUGGUUCUCGUACCAUAUUAAUUUGGCAGCAGGAGCUGAACCAGCUCUGAGCGCGUCCUUUUCUGAUGGAUAGGAUUUCCCCGGCGUCCAGCUCUGAAUCCUGCUCCUCUCCAGCCUUCCAGAGUCUGGAAAAAAGGGACCCCGUGGAGAAGGGAGCAGAAAGAAGAGGGAGAGAGCAGGAGGAAAUGAAAACGGCUUGUGAGAAACGGUGGGAGAGAAAAAUAGCAGCUGAAGGGUGAAGUCAUUUGUAAGUGACAGAGUCCUGCAACUGGGAGCUUAAACAGCUAGUCUGUAGGACUUUAUACGAAUAGCUAAGCCCUUUUUCCUUAUCCUACUAGGCAGAUAUUAAUAGCAACCCUGUUCCGAUGCGUGAGGACGCAGUGAGUUCAUUUUCGUGGAAGUGCCUAGGAUGGCGCCUUGUCAUAGAAGGUGAUGAAUUUAAUCCUGAAACUAAGGUUCAACAGAAAGCCGUUUGGUGGCAUUUCAUGUUAGAUGUAGCCGUUUCAGUGACAGAGAAAGGCAGGCCCAAAAGGAAGGAGCAAUUUUGGGCCUAGCCAAAGAGGUCCUUAUUAGCAAUGCAGAAAUGGUGAGCGCACUUGCCUGCAGGCCCUCGGACGUGCCAGGCAGAUGCUGGGAGUUCCCACAGACUCAGCCCGAGCAUCGCCCGGCCCUCCUCCGCGAUAUCCUCGGGUAGGUUGACCGAAAAACCGGUUCCACUCCUCCCAGUACGUCCUCUGGCCGGGAGAGCGGCAAUGGGGCGGGGAGGGCUGAGGUGCAGCCACAGGGACCGGCCUUCCCAGGCUCAGGGCCCCGCCCCGCCCCGCCUCCCCUCGCAGACCGGCUCCUGCCCGGAGAAAGCAUCUAGAACGCAGGACGGCGUCUCCCCAAGGGUGUGUGGUGUGUAAACAAAAUUGUUGUCAAUCAAGUCGCAUCUGUGAGUUUCAGGAACCCACAGUGGAUUCUUUGCGUCAGUCUGCGUUUCUCCUUCAAUGCUCCUCUUUGAUGAUCCUUUCCGCCCUUGUAACCCUACGUUUCUCACACGCUGGAGCUGCUGAGGUCAUGUGGCCAGGAGGUCGAAUUUCCCAGUUUUUAAAACAAGAGUUUUUAACCCAAAGAUGGUGGUGGAUGGGUAACAGAAAAGAAGAGAACUUCCCCAGACUCUCCAGCAUUCAAGACGGAAUGUGGGUCUCUCCAAAUCACCUGCCUUUGAUUCUGGCUGAGCUGGGACCUCACCCGCGGGUUAGCCGCUUGGGACAGGGCCCCCCGUAUUUCUCCUGGAGGAGACAGCUGUAUUUCACCAGGCAUGAAGUGAUUUAUGUGCACAAUUUAAAUAGUAUUUUGGAGCUCUGAGGAAUGCAAAAUGCAGCAUGACUUGAAGGUACGAUAUACUUAGGGGAAAAUAUGGAAUGUGCUGAAUGUUUUCUUUUCUUUCUUUUAAAGCUAGUUGAAAUCUGUUUCACUGACGAAACUGUUUAACCAUGUACAAAUGUGUAAUUCUGUCUCCUGACAAAAUCGGCAGGAUUGGGAUGAUGGGCCUCGUCAAGGUUGGAAGCAUAGCUUAGUCACCCUGGGGCUGCCCUAAGCCUUAGAUUUAGAAUAUGCUGGAAAAAUAAAAUGACUACUUUUUACAGAUUCAAUACCUGUCUUUUAAGUACGUAUAUUUUAGGACUAGGGGGCAUAUGUUUUCAUUUUUCCACCAGUGGUCAUAGUUUGGAUUUUAAACAAAAUUAGGUAGUAAUAAGAAUAAUCAUCAAAUUUGCUUACUAAAAAUCAUUUCUGGGGCCAGCCGGGUGGCGUAGUGGUUAAGUUCGUGGGCUCCACUUCGUUGGCCCAGAGUUUUGCUGGUUCGGAUCCUGGGCGCAAACCUAGCGCCACUCAUCAAACCACGCUGAGGUGGCGUCUGGCAUAAAAUAGAGGAAGAUUGACAAAGAUGUUAGCUCAGGGACGAUCUUACACACACACACACACACACACACACACACACACACACAAGAAUCAUUUCUGUUUUUGCAGAAAUUAAAUAUUCGGGUGUGGAAAUCUUGUUUUUGCCAAAAGUACGGAUGUAAAAAUAUUUUAAAAGUUUGUUCAUGAUUGCACCUUCAAUUAAUUACAUUUCUAGAGAGACACUUACUUUUGAGUUUUUAUUACACUAUAUGAGUACUGUGGUAUUGUGAAACACUGCAGGCAUACAAAAAAACCCACAGAGGAUUGUGCAACAAACAUCUGUACUCUAGUACUCAGUCCAAGAGAUAAAGCAUUACAGGUGUACGUGACAGCCCUCCACCGCCCCAGCUGCCCCCCUUCCUAGUCUCAUUUCUCUUCCUCACAUUCACAGCCAAUCUUUACCCUGCAUUUGUGUUUAUCAUUCCCGUGUGUUAAAAAUAUUUUUUCCAUUUAUGUAUAUACACGUAAACAAUACAUUAUAUAGUUUUCUUUUUCGUUUUUUUUGGGGGGGAAGAUGUGCCCUGAGCUAACAUGUGUUGCCAGUCUUUCUCUUCUUUUUCCUCCCCAGAGCCCCAGGGCAUGGUUGUGUAUCCUAGCUGUAAGUCCUUCUUGAUCUCUGUGGGAGCCGCUGCCACAGCAUGGCCACUGACAGACGGGUGGUGUGGUUCCGCACCCGGGAACUGAACCCAGGCUGCUGAAGUGGUGAGAGCACCAAACUUUAACCACUAGGCCUUCAGGGCUGGCUCUAUUUUGCAUGUUUUUAAUCUUGACGUAGACAGUGUCAUAGUGUACCUCCAUUUCUGCAAUUUUCAGGUAUAUCACGCCAUGUUAUAUUUUUGUGAUGUACUCCCCUUGAUUACAGUAGCUCUGCUUCCUUCCUGUUAACUGCAGCCUGGACAUCCACUGUGUAGACAUCCAUGCUUCUGUGAUGGAUGUAAGCUGUUGCUACUCCUUCUCUAUCAUAAACACUGUUGCAAGGACCUCUCUUGUGUGUGUCUUUGUGCACAUGUGAAGACUUUCACCCAGGAGUGGAAAUGUUUCAGGAUUGUAAACACUGUAUACAAUCUGUGACUUUAUUAGCUGCUACUUAAUUGCUCUCCAGAGUGACCAGGUUUACAUUUUCGCUGUAGAAAUAUAAGAAAAUACAGAUUACAGAUGAGAAAAGACAGAAAAGGAAAAAUCCUUCCCCAUUUCUCUAUCCAAAGAAACCCACUUUCGGGCCCGGCCUGUGGCCAGGUGGUUAAGUUUGUGUGCUCUGCUUUGUCAACCUUGGAUUUCGCUGGUUCGGAUCCUGGGCAUGGACCUAGCACUGCUCAUCAGGCCAUCCUGAGACAGUGGCCCACAUAGCACAGCUAGAAGGACCCACAACCAGAAUAUAGAACUAUGUAUUAGGGGGCUUUGGGAGAAGAAGAAAAAGAAAAAGAAAGAAAAAAAAAAGAAGAUUGGCAACUGAUGUGCCAAUCUUUAAAAAAAAAAAGAAACCCAUUUUUAACUUAAAAAAUUUUU
ensembl:lncRNA